AUCGUGGAUUUUUACCUUGGCUGUGAGUGUCUUGUUUCCUCUUUGGAGCGUGAGAAUUUCACUCUGGCUGAACUCCAAACUCCCCCUCAGCCCUGCUACCUCCUCACACAACUUUUCCAGUGUUGCAUGGAUUCCAGCCAGAGCACUAGCCACUACCUCAAUGCACCUCGGAGCUUCCGACCCUCUGCAGCGUCUCAAGGAGCCCCUCAGCCUGACAAACUGGCUACACCUACAGUACAGCCCCCCAGCGGUGAGGAGGCAGGACCCAGGAACAUGGGGACAGAACCACCCCAGCCAUUCCUGGAGGAGCUGACUGAAGAAGUGGCCUUCCUCAGAGACGUUAGCACAGCGGACACACACAGUGGAGAACAGGAGGGGCUAGGAGACAAGCGGCGAUCGGAGCUAGCGACAAAACAACAAGAGCCAACAGCAACACAGCUGAUAACACUGUUGAAGACAUGGACCAUACAGAGUCACAUCUAGGUUAGGGAAAUGAGCCCAAUAGCAUAUUUGUAAAA
rnacentral:lncRNA from 1 species